UGAAACAAGGGAAAACGUUGGCAGCAGUAAAGAAUUUUAUGCAAUAUACGAAAGUAAGACAUAGGCAGAACCUUUUAACCUGUCAAAUUAAGUGCCAGCAGACGCGGUGAAACUUAAGGGUUUGUUUUUUAGAAAAAGCAGAAAGCGUGUAAAGGUAAAACAUUUAAAAUAAAUAGAAUUUUUUUAGUAAUAGUGCAAUAUUAAAAGAAAAAAAAGAAUUUUUUAUGUGAAGACAAUUUAUUUUUUUUCUUUAACACGAAGGUUCUGGGAGCAAACAGGAUUAGAGACCCUGGUAGUCGAUACAGUAAAAGAAAGUCGCUUGAGUAGUACGGUCGCAAGAUUAAAAUUCAAAAAACUUGGCUGUUCAUUGUUAUUUAGAGGAGCGCGUUGCUUAAUUCGAUAGCCCGCGAGUUACCUUACCAAAACUAGCUUUUUCAGGUGUUGCAUGGCCGUCGUCAAUUUAUGUUUGAUACAAUAGAUUAAACCCUAGAAAGGUUGAAGUCAGGUAUUAUUGCCUUUAUGUUUUGGGGUUCGAUGCGCUACAUUUUUUUUUUAAUAAAAAAAAAGAGUUCGGAUUGUCUUUAAAAGAGGAUGAUGAAGGGGGAUUUAAUAGUAAUUGAAAAGUAGAGCGUUUCAAUGAAUUUGCCGCAAUGUUAGUACAAAUUGCCCGUCGCCUCUGCUGAUGGAAACAAAGUA
rnacentral:rRNA from 2 species